rfam:Xenopus laevis strain J chromosome 4S, whole genome shotgun sequence.
CGGUCCAUCCUAAUACCCACUGGUUGUGAUGUACCUGUUGGGUUUCGCUUGUGGACCAAAUCAAUCAGAGAAGCUUUUUUUAUAAAGGAGAUUUAUUCUAUUGGAUCUCCUGGUUUUAGUUUCUCUGGACAAUC